rnacentral:rRNA from 1 species
UACAGAGGGUGCAAGCGUUGUUCGGAAUUACUGGGCGUAAAGAGCUCGUAGGUGGUUUGUCGCGUUGUCCGUGAAAACUCACAGCUUAACUGUGGGCGUGCGGGCGAUACGGGCAGACUGGAGUACUGCAGGGGAGACUGGAAUUCCUGGUGUAGCGGUGGAAUGCGCAGAUAUCAGGAGGAACACCGGUGGCGAAGGCGGGUCUCUGGGCAGUAACUGACGCUGAGGAGCGAAAGCGUGGGGAGCGAACAGG